rnacentral:misc_RNA from 1 species
UCCUCCCUCAAACCUCGCGUUUGGUGUUGGACCGCGUUGGCUCCUCCGGGACCAACGGGUCUCAAAGACAAUGACGGCGUCCGUGGGACCCUCGGUGCAACGAGCUUUCCGAAGCACGCGUCGAGUCGAAAGGACCCUCCGGGCCGGGCUGACCUUUUCUUUUAUCA